AUCAAGUCACAGGAUCAGCCUCUUGGCACUGUGCCUCUUCCCCCCCCUUCUGGGCCAACUCCCUAGUCCUGGGAGCCAGGCUGUCUGCCAGCCUUCCUCGCCCAUCAGCCCACGCUGGGCAUGGCUACCCAUCACCACCCUUCCCAGGCUAGAAGGGCGUCUGUUACAUACACCCCUCCCCCCUUGUCCAAGAUGGUGGGGGGAAGCUUGCCCUGUGUCUCCCCGUUAUUUGUAUUGCAUCAAAUAAUGCAAUAUUUGAUAAAAGAGGCUCCAGCUGAGAUCAAGGCCCUGUUGUGCCAGGUGCUGCACAGACCCGAAGCAUGACACACCCCGUCCCGAGGAACCCACAGGCUAAAUAGACAAGGGACAGGAGGGGAACUGGAGGCACAGAAGAGCAGAGCGAUCGGCCCAGGCACACACGGCAGAGGCAGGAAUAGAUCCCGAAAGGAGAUGGUACAUUUAUAGGGAUGUCAGGAAUAUCCCAAUUUAAUAGGUCAUCAUUAAUAAUGUUAAACCUCAGGCUUCAGGGCUUGAACUAAUCCCUACCUAUCAGAUCAGGAUGAGACUGAAUGGGGGGGGAAGGGGGAACAGAAUGUCCCACAUCUGCCUGUGGUGGAAUUCUUGCAUGUUCCCCCGAAGCAACUGGUUCUGGUUCCUGUUAUCUACUGGGCUAGAUGGACCUGGCAAGUCCUUUGUACCUAACUAGGUUUUUCGGUUCCCAGUUCCAUUCCCUAUCCACUAGGCCGCGUGGUCUCUCGAGCCAUAACACAGCGCUUGGAUCGAAUCACGGUUACUUCCUCCCCACCCUUCCACCUCGCCGAAUGGUUCGAUUCAUUUUGAACAGAAAACAGGUUAUGUGGGGUUAAAAAAUAACCAAACUCCCCGCUCCAAGGUAGCAAGGGCUGUGUAACUUGCACCGCCGCUGCCUGCCGGCUGGCUUCCUGGAAGAUAAGCUAGAAGUUUUAUUAAGCACCCCUGCGUGUUUGCUCACAUGCUGAUAAUUAUCUUGUAUUCAGCUUUGCAACGUGUUCAUGGGGGCGGCGGGGCAGCUAGGUCAAGAUGCUACAACUUGUGCUGCCAAAUCCACCUGUGGCAAAUGCUCUGGAGUGAGGGCGGGCGCAGUCGACGCCCAUCUUGCAUAGGUGUCAUUGGUGAGAUGGGCCAGAACCUGACUCUAAGGAUUUGGCUACAUGUGAAAAUGAAUCCAGGGUGUGAGUUUAAAGCAGAUUAACUCCAUGGGUGGAUGCGCUUAUUCUGGAAUGAGAGUGCCUCGUUCAGAAUCACCUUAAUUCAUUGGUGCAGUAGUUUAAUCCACUGGACUAAGCUAAUUCAGAAUAAGAGUGUCCACACAUGGAGUUAUCAGAAAUAGUUUACUCUGUAAUAGCUCUUUGUGUGGACAAGCCCUAAAAGCAGGGGGAAGGAUCUAGGAUUUUAGUUAUUCCCCUUAUUCGUGUAUCCAGGCGAGGCCGUUUGGUGAAGUGGAUUCGGGUGUAACAGCCAGGAGAUCUAGGGAGAAAUCCUGGUCCCAUUUACUUCAGUGGUGAUCCGGCCACUUAUUUGCAGAGUGACCAGUGGUAAGUAUCUGUGCCUCAGGCUCCUCAUCUGUAAAAUGGGGCUAAUAAGAGAGACCCACUUCCGGGGAGCACUCUGAGAUCUAUGGGAUUGUACAUGUGCUCCAUACAAACUAGGACUUUGCUUCUUCUCUCUUUCCAACAGCAAGGGGGUGACACUCAGGGCCUGAUUCUGCUCUCUUACACAGGUGAAAAUCAGGCCUGACUCCAGCCUAAGAGGAAAAUGAUGCCCCAGAGCUCUGCAGGGAGAGAGCAAAGGACCCAGGACUCCAGAAGUUACGUGCUUCUGUUUUUUCCCCCGGGAGCAGGAGGAUAGGCUGGUUGCUGUGCAGUGCCCAGGGGCCUAUGUUUAUCGAGAAGGCAGGGAUCCAUGGUACAUGGCAAGCCCACGAGAUCCAUCUGAAGCACGGAAGAGAGCAGGCGGAGGACAGAGAGCAUGAGAGGGAAACUGAGGCAGGGAGAGGCGAAUGAAGUACCUUGCCCAACGUCGCACAGCAAGUGACAGGCAGAGACAGGAAGAGAACCCAGGACUCCUGACUUGCAGUCCAGCACCCUAUCUCCCCGUCCAUCUGCCUUCUAUGAAGAGUUUGGCAGAUACUUGUAAACUGUCCACCUCCUUGGUAUCUAGAUACCGUACCAGACGUGGUUCUGAUCUCGGAUCAAUGUCAGACAACCUCCCUCCAGCCAGAGUCUCAGAAAUCUGUUUAAAUAAGACAUCAGAGCCUUUAUACUGAGGUCAGGAGCUCCUGAAUUGCCAAUUUAGGCCAAGGACAGAUGUUGUUCCUCAAAUGAGACUAUUUAAAGCCCUGGAGACCAACCUGUGACCAAACCUGAGUCUGCUGGUCCCACUAGCACUUCACCCGGAGAGAGGCCUUUGUAGAUUUCAUGAGGGGAAUUCAGUGCAAGUUUUCGACAUAGGGAUUCAUUAGGAAAUGUGUCACAUUUCCUCUCCUCCUUCCGCAGCCGCCACCCGCGUUGGCCGUCUCGUUAAAAUACAGUGCGCGUGGGAAGGUGAGGGGGACGUCCGGUAAGUUUCACUUCCAGAGCGGGAGGAUGAAAGAGAGCUACGGGACUUGAAUAAAAGCCUCUCGCCGGCUCUGAUGUGGAUCUGUGGGAUAGUGGUUCU